rnacentral:misc_RNA from 1 species
CACAUGUCCUACUCAGAGUACAAAUCUUUCGGAAAAGGAUCCAUUCUAUAAAUCCAGGAUUAAAAUGAAAACGAACACUACAAAAGAUGAUCAAACACGGAAACAGGUUAUCAAAAUGUUGGUAUUGGUCAUCGUCCUUUUUGUCAUUUGCUGGGCACCAAUCUUGACCAAUAACUUACUGGUCGCUUACGGUUAUCUGCCCUUGUUGAACUUUGGUUACCUAAAACCAAUGCGGGAAGCCUUUUUCUUGAUGGCCUACUCAAACAGUUGUGUCAACCCCGUUGUUUACGGUUUCAUGUCAAGGAACUUCAGAGAAGCCUUCCUCAAUGCACUUUGCUCGUGCCUCAGAGGAAAAGAGUACGUCCGGCGGAAGCGGUUUGAACGACACAAUUCCAGCGUCACGAGGUCAACGCAGAUGGGUUACAUCCGGGACAUUGAAAUGGAGGAGAUGGAAAUUUGCUCAAAAUACGGCGCCACAUACGUCCCAGAGAGUGUAUAACGAGGAGAGGCGACCAACGAAAACUACAACUUUAACGAACUAUAUCUUAAGAUACAUGUGUGCGUGUAUAUGCGUGUGUAUAUAUAUAUGUGUGUGCGUGUGUGUAUGUGUAUGUGUGUGUGUGUAUAUAUA